rnacentral:rRNA from 1 species
UACGGGGGGAGCAAGCGUUGUUCGGAUUUACUGGGCGUAAAGCGCACGUAGGCGGAUUGGUCAGUUAGGGGUGAAAAUCCUGGAGCUCAACUCCAGAACUGCCUUUAAUACUGCCAGUCUCGAGUCCGGAAGAGGUAAGUGGAACUCCUAGUGUAGAGGUGGAAUUCGUAGAUAUUAGGAAGAACACCAGUGGCGAAGGCGGCUUACUGGUCCGGUACUGACGCUGAGGUGCGAAAGCGUGGGGAGCAAACAGG